rnacentral:tRNA from 1 species
GGGCCCGUAGCUCAGCUGGUUAGAGUGCCGGCCUGUCACGCCGGAGGUCGCGAGUUCAAGUCUCGUCGGGCCCGC